rnacentral:rRNA from 1 species
AACGAACGCUGGCGGCAGGCUUAACACAUGCAAGUCGAACGCCCCGCAAGGGGAGUGGCAGACGGGUGAGUAACGCGUGGGAAUCUACCCAACCCUACGGAACAACUCCGGGAAACUGGAGCUAAUACCGUAUACGCCCUACGGGGGAAAGAUUUAUCGGGGAUGGAUGAGCCCGCGUUGGAUUAGCUAGUUGGUGGGGUAAGGGCCUACCAAGGCGACGAUCCAUAGCUGGUCUGAGAGGAUGAUCAGCCACAUUGGGACUGAGACGCGGCCCAAACUCCUACGGGAGGCAGCAGUGGGGAAUAUUGGACAAUGGGCGCAAGCCUGAUCCAGCCAUGCCGCGUGAGUGAUGAAGGUCUUAGGAUUGUAAAGCUCUUUCACCGGUGAAGAUAAUGACGGUAACCGGAGAAGAAGCCCCGGCUAACUUCGUGCCAGCAGCCGCCGUAAAAC